GUGCCAGCCGCCGCGGUAAGACGAAGGAUGCAAGCGUUAUCCGGAUUCAUUGGGUUUAAAGGGUGCGUAGGCGGACUGAUAAGUCAGUGGUGAAAUCUCUCAGCUUAACUGAGAAACUGCCAUUGAUACUGUUAGUCUAGAGUAUAGAUGACGUUGGCGGAAUAUGACAUGUAGUGGUGAAAUACUUAGAUAUGUCAUAGAACACCGAUUGCGAAGGCAGCUAACGAAACUAUAACUGACGCUGAGGCACGAAAGUGCGGGGAUCAAACAGGAUUAGAAACCCGUGUAGUCC
rnacentral:rRNA from 1 species